CCGGCAAAUGCCGGAGGAAUUACAGCCUACCGAUGCUCGAGGUCGCGGGUUCGAAUCCCGCCUCUGCCGCCAACGAUGGCAGAGUAGCUCAGAGGAUAGAGCGCGUAACAAUUUCUCCACCUCUAGUUGCCGAGGU
rnacentral:Y_RNA from 1 species